rnacentral:rRNA from 1 species
GAUGAACGCUGGCGGCGUGCCUAAUACAUGCAAGUCGAGCGAACGGACGAGAAGCUUGCUUCUCUGAUGUUAGCGGCGGACGGGUGAGUAACACGUGGAUAACCUACCUAUAAGACUGGGAUAACUUCGGGAAACCGGAGCUAAUACCGGAGAAUAUUUUGAACCGCAUGGUUCAAAAGUGAAAGACGGUCUUGCUGGCACGUAUAGAUGGAUCCGCGCUGCAUUAGCUAGUUGGUAAGGUAACGGCUUAUCAAGGCAACGAUGCAUAGCCGACCUGAGAGGGUGAUCGGCCACACUGGAACUGAGACACGGUCCAGACUCCUACGGGAGGCAGCAGUAGGGAAUCUUCCGCAAUGGGCGAAAGCCUUACGGAGCAACGCCGCGUGAGUGAUGAAGGUCUUCGGAUCGUAAAACUCUGUUAUUAGGGAAGAACAUAUGUGUAAGUAACUGUGCACAUCUUGACGGUACCUAAUCAGAAAGCCACGGCUAACUACGUG